rnacentral:rRNA from 1 species
UACGGGGGGGGCAAGCGUUGUUCGGAAUUACUGGGCGUAAAGGGUUCGUAGGUGGCUUGUUAAGUCAGACGUGAAAUCCCUCGGCUCAACCGGGGAACUGCGUCUGAGACUGAUGAGCUCGAGUGCAGGAGAGGAACGCGGAAUUCCAGGUGUAGCGGUGAAAUGCGUAGAUAUUGGGAGGAACACCGGUGGCGAAGGCGGCCCUCUGGACCGGUACUGACGCUGAUGCGCGAAAGCGUGGGGAGCGAACAGG